AAGUCGAACGAUGAAGCUUCUAGCUUGCUAGAAGUGGAUUAGUGGCGCACGGGUGAGUAAGGUAUAGUUAAUCUGCCCUACACAAGAGGACAACAGUUGGAAACGACUGCUAAUACUCUAUACUCCUGCUUAACACAAGUUGAGUAGGGAAAGUUUUUCGGUGUAGGAUGAGACUAUAUAGUAUCAGCUAGUUGGUAAGGUAAUGGCUUACCAAGGCUAUGACGCUUAACUGGUCUGAGAGGAUGAUCAGUCACACUGGAACUGAGACACGGUCCAGACUCCUACGGGAGGCAGCAGUAGGGAAUAUUGCGCAAUGGGGGAAACCCUGACGCAGCAACGCCGCGUGGAGGAUGACACUUUUCGGAGCGUAAACUCCUUUUCUUAGGGAAGAAUUCUGACGGUACCUAAGGAAUAAGCACCGGCUAACUCCGUGCCAGCAGCCGCGGUAAUACGGAGGGUGCAAGCGUUACUCGGAAUCACUGGGCGUAAAGGGCGCGUAGGCGGAUUAUCAAGUCUCUUGUGAAAUCUAAUGGCUUAACCAUUAAACUGCUUGGGAAACUGAUAGUCUAGAGUGAGGGAGAGGCAGAUGGAAUUGGUGGUGUAGGGGUAAAAUCCGUAGAUAUCACCAAGAAUACCCAUUGCGAAGGCGAUCUGCUGGAACUCAACUGACGCUAAGGCGCGAAAGCGUGGGGAGCAAACAGGAUUAGAUACCCUGGUAGUCCACGCCCUAAACGAUGUACACUAGUUGUUGGGGUGCUAGUCAUCUCAGUAAUGCAGCUAACGCAUUAAGUGUACCGCCUGGGGAGUACGGUCGCAAGAUUAAAACUCAAAGGAAUAGACGGGGACCCGCACAAGCGGUGGAGCAUGUGGUUUAAUUCGAAGAUACGCGAAGAACCUUACCUGGGCUUGAUAUCCUAAGAACCUUUUAGAGAUAAGAGGGUGCUAGCUUGCUAGAACUUAGAGACAGGUGCUGCACGGCUGUCGUCAGCUCGUGUCGUGAGAUGUUGGGUUAAGUCCCGCAACGAGCGCAACCCACGUAUUUAGUUGCUAACGGUUCGGCCGAGCACUCUAAAUAGACUGCCUUCGUAAGGAGGAGGAAGGUGUGGACGACGUCAAGUCAUCAUGGCCCUUAUGCCCAGGGCGACACACGUGCUACAAUGGCAUAUACAAUGAGACGCAAUACCGCGAGGUGGAGCAAAUCUAUAAAAUAUGUCCCAGUUCGGAUUGUUCUCUGCAACUCGAGAGCAUGAAGCCGGAAUCGCUAGUAAUCGUAGAUCAGCCAUGCUACGGUGAAUACGUUCCCGGGUCUUGUACUCACCGCCCGUCACACCAUGGGAGUUGAUUUCACUCGAAGCCGGAAUACUAAACUAGUUACCGUCCACAGUGGAAUCAGCGACUGGGG
rnacentral:rRNA from 1 species